rnacentral:lncRNA from 12 species
CAGCCAAAACCUGUGCAAAGUCUGGCACUUUUGCUUGCUGUCUUUACAAGAGAUAUUGUCAUUAUUUAUUGAUCAGUUUGUUUGGGUUUUUUUAUGUUGCAGUAGCUUCUUGGAUGGGAACCCUUAGGCCAGGGGCCAUACAAAAUCAAAAUAGAAAGACAGUCCAAAGGAGCUCACAGUCAGACAAGAGACAACAAAUGACUAUUACACACAAUGGCAAGCUACUGUUCACUGCCUGUGUGAAUGUGGCUGCUGGACA